rnacentral:rRNA from 1 species
AGAGUUUGAUCCUGGCUCAGAGUGAACGCUGGCGGCAGGCCUAACACAUGCAAGUCGAGCGGCAGCGCGUCCGACCACCCUCGGGUGGUCGGAUGGCGGCGAGCGGCGGACGGGUGAGGAAUGCAUCGGAAUCUGCCUCGUUGUGGGGGAUAACGUAGGGAAACUUACGCUAAUACCGCAUACGACCUACGGGUGAAAGUGGGGGACCUUCGGGCCUCACGCGAUGAGAUGAGCCGAUGCCGGAUUAGCUAGUUGGCGGGGUAAAGGCCCACCAAGGCGACGAUCCGUAGCUGGUCUGAGAGGAUGAUCAGCCACACUGGAACUGAGACACGGUCCAGACUCCUACGGGAGGCAGCAGUGGGGAAUAUUGGACAAUGGGGGCAACCCUGAUCCAGCCAUGCCGCGUGUGUGAAGAAGGCCUUCGGGUUGUAAAGCACUUUUGUUGGGGAAGAAACCGGCCGGGUUAAUACCCUGGUUGAAUGACGGUACCCAAAGAAUAAGCACCGGCUAACUUCGUGCCAGCAGCCGCGGUAAUACGAAGGGUGCAAGCGUUACUCGGAAUUACUGGGCGUAAAGCGUGCGUAGGCGGUUUGUUAAGUCUGCUGUGAAAGCCCUGGGCUCAACCUGGGAACUGCAGUGGAUACUGGCGAGCUAGAGUGUGUCAGAGGAUGGUGGAAUUCCCGGUGUAGCGGUGAAAUGCGUAGAGAUC